rnacentral:rRNA from 1 species
CCUACGGGAGGCAGCAGUAAGGAAUAUUGGUCAAUGGACGAAAGUCUGAACCAGCCAUGCCGCGUGAAGGAUUAAGGCCCUCUGGGUUGUAAACUUCUUUUAUCUGGGACGAAAAAAGGGUAUUCUUACUCACUUGACGGUACCAGAGGAAUAAGCACCGGCUAACUCCGUGCCAGCAGCCGCGGUAAUACGGAGGGUGCAAGCGUUAUCCGGAUUUACUGGGUUUAAAGGGUGCGUAGGUGGGACUUGUAAGUCAGUGGUGAAAUCUCCGGGCUUAACCCGGAAACUGCCAUUGAUACUAUAGGUCUUGAAUUAUCUGGAGGUAAGCGGAAUAUGUCAUGUAGCGGUGAAAUGCUUAGAUAUGACAUAGAACACCAAUUGCGAAGGCAGCUUACUACGGAUAUAUUGACACUGAGGCACGAAAGCGUGGGGAUCAAACAGGAUUAGAUACCCUGGUAGUCCACGCCCUAAACGAUGGAUACUCGACAUCAGCGAUACACUGUUGGUGUCUGAGCGAAAGCAUUAAGUAUCCACCUGGAAGUACGAUCGCAAGAUUGAAACUUAAAGAGUAGUAGCGNGNGAGNGCGACGAGCACAGGAGGAG